UUUGAUUAUGUGAGUGCAAACGUGCCCAAUAAUAAAUUCUCCAAGUGGGAAAAAAAUAACAGUCUUUCACUUUCCACUCCUCUAGGAAGAAUUCCUUUGGCUACCGGAAGAAAAGGGAGGAGAAGUUUACAGUGAGUACAUAAAGCAUAUACCUCUUCACAAGACAUUUAAAUCUAAUUUAUACCAAACCUGAGAUUUAAUUAAAUGGAUUAAGGUUAAGACACAAGAAUGAGCAUUUCAAAAGACUUGUAACGUGAAAUCCACUAAGUAAUAACUGACACCCUGGCUGGCCUAGGAGGAAGCAACUGUAGAGGUUUUGGAAAUAGCGAUGUGCUGCACGGGACUCCACAGUGCACAGGCGUGUUGUGCUGUGGCACAGGCAUGGCCAGGAACUUGCUGUCGCAUGCACUGCAGCCUACACACGGGUGUGCACGUGAGCUCUUCUGUGUGGCAGCUGUACCGGAGAGUCUGAAAUGACUGGAGCCAUUCAUUUCAAUGAGCAGAGUAAGCAUCUUCCACGGAGCAAUUUGUUUGUCGGUGUUUUCCUUCAAAACUUUCGAAUACUCUCCCGCUGUGUAGAAAGCAUUAUCUCCUUCUGCUGUAACUUACUGGCAGGACAGACCCAAAUAUAAGUGAUAGGUUUUUGUGGCGGUAAGUACAUGAGACAUGGUGAUUUUUGCUUGGGUUGAUUAAUCAGAGUUUCUCCUGUGGAAAAUGUUUGUGCUGGUCUUUAGUGGAGGAUGGCAUGGACUUCUCCACAGCCAGGGGUGGGAUGGCACGGUGGCAGUUAGCAGUACCCACAAAGAUGGGAGGGAUGACACGGUGGCAGUUAGCAGUACCCACGAACCAGUGGUGGGACGGUACGGUGGCAGUGUUAGCAGUACCCACGAAGAUGGGAGGGAUGGCACGGUGGCAGUUAGCAGUACCCACGAACCAGUAGUGGGACAGCAAGGUGGCAGUUAGCAGUACCCACGAAGAUGGGAGGGAUGCCUCCAUGGGCUUGCAGAUGUGGAAUUCCAUACAAGGAAUGCUGGAGGAGACCUGGACAAAUCCUGGUCCAGCCCCUCAAGCCAUCACACAGGUGCUUUCUCAUCACAAAAGAUACAAUCUCUGUUUAGAACUCAGAAAUUGUGCCUUUCAUGAGGUCGGCUUAGUCUAGUUUUUGUUUAACUAGUUGGUAAGGCAGUUUUUACCAGUUAAUUGCAAUUGGAAUUAGUGAAUUCCUGUGACCAUUUGGACUAACAAGUCAAGCAUCUAAACACAGGGCACUGUUGUGCCCGCCGUGAUGUUUUCCCACAGCCAUUUCUCUUCUGUUAUGUUUUGCCUUGCAUUCCUGAUGCAUGUGUUCAUGACUGUGACCUGCUUUGAAGCUUCGGCUUGUGGCCCAGUGUUGUAUUGAUUACAGAGCAUACGCCCAUCAUCUUAUGUACGUGCUCUCAGGACCUCAGAAAGGUCCAGACGCUUUUUCUGUAAAAGUGUGUGAGCCUCGGGCCUAACCACGCCCAUGGGACCUGAGCAGUACUCAGACCUCACCCAGAGGUGCUCAGAUCCUAGAGGAUUUUAACACUGCCUUCCAAGUCAAGUCCCAUCUGUGGCUGAUGUCAUUUUGUAACUCCCACAUCUGGGCAGUUGUUGCCUGCCUCUUUUGCUUCUACGAGUUGAGAUUUAAAUACAUUUUUGGGGAAGGCUGUCUCUCUAAUAAUGCUUAUCUUCUGAAAAGCUGUGUUCACCUCAGAAACGUGCAGAUGUUUAAAACCGCUUUGCCAUCAUAGUGGCCAUGUGUAACUUAGAGCUUUGCAGGAUCAUUUUGAGCAUCAUAUUCACAAUACUGGGUUACAGAGAGCAUACAACAGCCAGCUGCUCAGUAGGUAACAAGCUUACUGCCAAGGACACCUAACUGGGAAAAGCUAAGCUAAAAUUAGGCACCUGUCGCGUGGAGCAGAGAAGCAAGCAGAAUGCCCAACACAGACUGGACUGGGGUUUGUGUCAGCCUGAAUUCAUUUUCAUCCUAUGACCUGCUUUCACUUCUGACAUAUUUUCUCUAGAAUCUACUGAUGCAGGGACUCACCUUCCUGUGUAUAAACUUUGGAGAAACAUUGGCACUUUCCAGUUAGGUGGAUCCCAUGAGAUCUUUGCUUCCUGGUCAGAGUAGCCCAUUGUUUCAGCUAAAAAUAGUUGUAUUCUUUAGUUAAUAUAAAUUCAUUUCUAAACUAAAUGUAAACUCAUUUCCCCUUUCUGUGCCAUGUGUCCUUCAGCUGAGGAACUGCGUACUCGCAAAAUGACUGCUAGCUUGUUAAAGCGGGUUGAUAGAUCAUUUUCCAAUAAAAGGUAUUACUGCCUUUCUUCUGAGAUUUGGGCUUACAAAGUACACUCACUUCUUAUUAUACUGAGUUUGCUUUCUUGGAAGUCAAAGAAUCUGAUUAGAAUUUGUCAAAUCCUGUGUUUUUAAUUAUUUAAAAAUAUAAACUUUCAUUAAGUUUAUUUUCAGAGAAUUCGAGCCCCCUCCCCUUUUGUUAAACCACUUUUUUGAUGCACGUGUGUAAAAUUUCUUACACAGGUUGUGGGAGAGAGUGUCAUAUUUUGUUUUUAACAAUUAUCUUGUGACUCACAUUAAAAACUAUGCUGUAGUAACAACACUUGUCUGAAAGUGAGAAAGUUUAAUGUCUAGACUCAGGCUGCCCUGCUUUCCAUCUGGUGGGCUGGAGUCACUCCAGAGUGUCUCCCUUGCCUUCAGCUGCCCCUGCUGUUCGUGAGUGCUGGCAGCCAUGGGUGGAUAGCUCUUUGGAUGUCACCUUAGCCUCACUGUGUCCUUUGUGACACAUCUCUUGGGCAGCAGCAUCUUGAGAUUUCAGUUUUACAGCUCUGCUCUAGAUGGUUGAAGUUGCUUGGGAGAACCUUCAAUUGAGUGAGGAAGCCCUUGUCUGGGUUGAAUGAUCUGCUUGUUUCUACAGAUAUUUUCCAGACAGGUGUGGAAAUGAUAAGCUGCUUGGCCUUCUCUCUCCAUACCGUGACCCUGGGGUGUCAUUCUGUUGCAGAGCAGCCAGACACAGUCUCCAACGCCACCAAAGCCUCCGUCGCCAAGCUUCGAGCUGGGGCUGUCCAGCUUCCCUCCAUUACCUGGAGCUGCCGGCAAUUUGAAGACAGAGGACUUGUUUGAAAACAGGCUAUCUAGCUUGAUAAUAGGACCAUCCAAAGAAAGGACCCUCAGUGCAGACGCAAGCGUGAACACCCUUCCUGUAGUGGUCUCCAGAGAGCCCUCGGUGCCAGCUUCUUGUGCUGUAUCAGCAACGUACGAGCGAUCCCCCUCCCCAGCUCAUUUACCCGAUGAUCCCAAGGUGGCGGAGAAACAGAAGGAAACCCACAGUGUGGACAGACUUCCUCCCGCCCUCACUGCGACCGCAUGUAAAUCGGUGCAGGUGAACGGAGCCGCCACGGAAUUGCGAAAGCCCAGCUACGCAGAGAUUUGUCAGAGAACGAGUAAAGAGCCUCCUUCUUCCCCAUUGCAACCCCAAAAAGAACAAAAGCCAAACACUGUUGGUUGUGGGAAGGAGGAAAAGAAGCUGGCAGAGCCCGCAGAGAGAUACCGGGAGCCCCCAGCCCUCAAGUCCACACCUGGAGCCCCCAGAGACCAGAGGCGGCCGGCGGGGGGCCGGCCCUCGCCCUUGGCCAUGGGGAAGCGUCUCAGCCGAGAGCAGAGCACUCCCCCCAAGUCUCCUCAGUGAAAACCGUACGUCUGGGAGGGGUCGCAGAGCGCUGUGUUAACCACAAACGAGACACUCUUCCCACUCAGUGCGAGGGCGAGCCGCUGGUUAGGAGCUUGCAGUGUCUGAGGCCUGUGGGAUCCUCAAGUUGGUUUUCUUCUGUGAGUUGGAUUCUCCCCCUCUUGAAAAAAAAUCGAUUUUUCAGGAUUUAAUUAAUACAAACCUUAUUUUAGGUUGGUGCUUAACUGGAGGUGAUGCAUAAGUCUGAUUUUCUUUUCCAAGAUAGAAAAAGCAUUUAUCCUAACAAAUUGGUAUUUUUUAUUAAGCCUCCAUGUGGCUCUGAAUGCAAGCUAUAUAUAGUGAGUUUUUCUAAAUUAAGGGAACUCUGCUUUUUUUUUUUUUUUUUUUAAGUAACUGGUCUGUAAGUGCAUAUCUCUAGAAUGUCCCCGCAGACGAAUGAGGGCCAGUGGCCUUGGCAGAGGCAGGUGUGGCCUCGUAGAGGCAGUGCUGGCCGCGCCAGGGCAUCAGUGCUGAUGUGGGAGCUGUGCUUCCACCUAAGCCGUUGGUAGGGGACUGUGGCAUUUAAGAAUGUAGAGAGCGCAUCCUUUUUGAUCUCCUGGGCAGAGUGAACCUGCAGGGGCCACCCCAGAAACCUUGGUUCUGAUGCACUGCAAGCAAGUAACCAGCUUCUCACUCCAGUUUCAAGUGGCUAUUAUGUAAUAUAAAUUCAAAGCACAUUGUGAAUAGAACCUACAUGAAAACAUACACUUUGUUGCCCACUGACAUGUUACCAGAAGUUGUACCAUGAUGUUGUUUUGACCCCUGUGAGCUGAUGGCCCCGGCCCUGCUCUGUGCACAUUUCUGUCCGUGGUCCCCAGCACUCUGGUUGGAGAGAGUCCACAUCUUCAGCUCCGUGUGGGCAUCUCCCUGUACCUCUGCAUCAGCACAUGGAUUUAAGAGUUAUGUAAUCGUGAGAGAACGGUGUUUGUGGUUUUUCCCCCUCUUUGGCUGGUGGAGGAUAAAGUUCCUGCUCUUUUACCUCCAAGACGAGGGCCUCAUUGAUUCACUUCCAGAAGUGCUGCACUUCUGAAGAACAAGGAUGCACUAAAGUUAGCAAGUUUAUAAUAAAGUUAAAUAUAAAUUA
rnacentral:sRNA from 1 species